UUUCUAGCCACACAUCUUCUGAAAACCUCCAUCCCUUGCUUCAAAAGCUGGCUAGUCCUAAACGGGUGCCUUCAGCAUUUUCGUUGGAUCGGCCGGAUCCUGAUGCGCUGGAUUCUAAGAGUUCUUGCCUUGAAGACUUGCUAGAAUGGUUUGUGCAGAGAUGCUGUGGCUUCUGUUCCAAGCUUGUUUAAGCCCAUCUUCACAUUCCUACAACCUCUUCUUCUCCACCGUUGUCCCGAAGAACCAGAUGCAAUUAUUUCUAUUAACUGCAUUCGAAACCCUGAAGCACCAUUUUACUGAGCAAAACAGGUGCAUAGAUACAGUUAUAACAAAAAUUCUCAUAGAAACCAGCCCCGAGCCACAGCUUUUUUCUUCUCUAUUCUCAACUUACAUAUCACAACGAACAAGAGACGGGCUAUAUGGUGUCAACCUUAGCUCUCUCAUUUUCAGUCUUGUGCAAUGGCAGUACAUAGUUUGACGGUUGUGACUUUCAUUCAAACAUGUAAUAUUAACACGACUCUCGAAUCCCAUGGAAGAGAGAAUUGACCAUCAUGGCAAGAUGGUUAAAUUUAGAGUGCCGGACAGAGUGCUGUAAAUAUAAAAGCGGACUGGUUUGGUUGUGCAAUAAAAUACAAUCACCAUUGAUGUGAAA